GAUGAACGCUGGCGGCGUGCUUAACACAUGCAAGUCGAACGAGCUUUAUUGUUACGAUCCCUUCGGGGGUGACGACUUUAAAGUGAGUGGCGGACGGGUGAGUAACGCGUGGAUAACCUGCCUCAUACAGGGGGAUAACAGCCGGAAACGGCUGCUAAUACCGCAUAAGCGCACGGUACCGCAUGGUACAGUGUGAAAAACUCCGGUGGUAUGGGAUGGAUCCGCGUCUGAUUAGCCAGUUGGCGGGGUAACGGGCCCACCAAAGCGACGAUCAGUAGCCGACCUGAGAGGGUGACCGGCCACAUUGGGACUGAGACACGGCCCAAACUCCUACGGGAGGCAGCAGUGGGGAAUAUUGCACAAUGGGGGAAACCCUGAUGCAGCGACGCCGCGUGAGCGAAGAAGUAUUUCGGUAUGUAAAGCUCUAUCAGCAGGGAAGAAGAAAUGACGGUACCUGACUAAGAAGCCCCGGCUAACUACGUG
rnacentral:rRNA from 1 species